rnacentral:lncRNA from 1 species
GGUUUGUGAGGGCAGAUCAGAUUGAUCUGAAGAGCUUGGAUGAGCAGCUGGAGAGGCAUCUCAACAGGGUCUUGACUUUGGAGAAGAACAAGAUCAUGAGAGACCCCGAAACCAAUUCCAACAGCAUCCACCUCACAACCACCUCCACCUCCAAUUCAACCGUCACAACCACCGCCACCUCCACUUCCUCCAUGACCCUCUCCAUCCCCAAACGCCACCGCCAGGAGUGGGAGAUCGACCCCUCCAAGCUCCUCAUCAAGUCCGUCAUUGCUCGUGGCACCUUUGGCACCGUACACCGUGGCAUCUACGACGGUCAAGACGUCGCCG